rnacentral:rRNA from 1 species
AACGUAGGACGCGAGCGUUAUCCGGAGUUACUGGGCGUAAAGGGUGGGCAGGCGGCCGUGUCAGAUGGGUGUGAAAUCUCCCGGCUCAACCGGGAGGGGCCACUCGUGACUGCACGGCUGGAGGGCAGCAGAGGCGCGUGGAAUUCCGGGUGGAGUGGUGAAAUGCGUAGAGAUCCGGAGGAACACCAGAGGCGAAGGCGGCGCGCUGGGCUGUACCUGACGCUGAACCACGAAAGC